GUGUGUGUGUGUGUGUGUGUGUGUGUGUGUGUGUGUGUGUGUGUGUGUGUGUGUGUGUGUGCGUGCGUGUGUGUGCGCGCGUGUGCGUGCGUGCGUGCGUGGGCGUGGGUGUGUAUACAGAGUGCAUAUGUGUAGCUGUAGUCCAUUAUCUAACAUUUUAAUCAUGUAUGUCAUUUUUUCCCCUGUUGUAUUUUUUAAGAGUUACAGUUUUGAGUGAGCCUGUGUGCCAUUUGAUUCACCCUCUUUCUGUCAUUAAGGAUGCGUUUAUACCAAGCGAAUCGAAUCGAAUUAAUUCAUGAAGAAUCAACACGAUUCGUGAAUCGUAUUGAUUCGCCACAUUAGUUACAAUGUAACCGUUUACACCAGGCGAAUCGAGUCAAUUCAAGUCACGCCGAUUCAUGGCGAUUCAGAAUCAAUGAUUGGUUUGGACCCAUUUUUUCAUGAACCAAGGCGAUUCAGCCGAGGAGUAAGCACCAUGCUAGUGGACGUUCUGUUGUUGUUGUUGUUUUCGGGCUUCGACGAUCCCACAGAUCCUAUGAGCCCUGGUGGCGCGUGGACGUUCUAAUCAAUUUAGUAAGAGAAUAACGUGUUAUAUAAUGAUCCCAGUGAUCCUGUGCGCCGAGAUCAUGUACAUGUAAUGUACUGAACCACAGCUCAUAGAUAAAAGUAACUGCUGCAGCCUACGAAUUACGAGAUAAUAUUAUUCUGCAUAUUAAAAAAAAAAAAAAAAAAAAAAAAAAGACAA